rnacentral:tRNA from 1 species
UCCAAAAUAGCUCAGUCGGCAGUGCGUUAGACUAUAGAUCGAAAAGUCCCUGGUUCGAUCCCGGGUUCCGGCA